rnacentral:rRNA from 1 species
UGCAAGUCGAGCGGAAAGGCCCUUCGGGGUACUCGAGCGGCGAACGGGUGAGAAACACGUGAGUAACCUGCCCCUGACUCUGGGAUAAGCCCGGGAAACUGGGUCUAAUACCGGAUACGACACCUCCCCGCAUGGGGUGGGUGUGGAAAGUUUUUUCGGUUGGGGAUGGACUCGCGGCCUAUCAGCUUGUUGGUGGGGUAACGGCCUACCAAGGCGACGACGGGUAGCCGGCCUGAGAGGGCGACCGGCCACACUGGGACUGAGACACGGCCCAGACUCCUACGGGAGGCAGCAGUGGGGAAUAUUGCGCAAUGGGCGAAAGCCUGACGCAGCGACGCCGCGUGGGGGAUGACGGCCUUCGGGUUGUAAACCUCUUUCAGCAGGGACGAAGGUGACGUGUACCUGCAGAAGAAGCGCCGGCUAACUACGUGCCAGCAGCCGCGGUAAUACGUAGGGCGCAAGCGUUGUCCGGAAUUAUUGGGCGUAAAGAGCUCGUAGGUGGCUUGUCACGUCGGGUGUGAAAGCUUGGGGCUUAACUCCAGGUCUGCAUUCGAUACGGGCUGGCUAGAGGUAGGUAGGGGAGAACGGAAUUCCUGGUGUAGCGGUGAAAUGCGCAGAUAUCAGGAGGAACACCGGUGGCGAAGGCGGUUCUCUGGGCCUUACCUGACGCUGAGGAGCGAAAGCG